GACAGAGGGUGCAAACGUUGUGCUCGGAAUUACUGGGCGUAAAGAGCUCGAUAGGCGGCUUGUCGCGUCGAAUGUGAAAACCCACGGCUCAAACUGUGGGCUUGCAUUCGAUACGGGCAGGCUAGAGUUCGGUAGGGGAGACUGGAAUUCCAUGGUGUAGCGGUGAAAUGCGCAGAUAUCAGGAGGAACACCGGUGGCGAAGGCGGGUCUCUAGUACGGUACUGACGCGUGAGACGCGAAAGCGUGGGGAGCAAACAGG
rnacentral:rRNA from 1 species